UAGGUGGACUCCAGACUGAAAUCAUGAUGGGUGGUGAUAUUGUACCCACCAGGUGUCCUCUGAGCACCCAAAUAAAUAGAAAUCAUCAAUGGAGUAUAACAGACAAUAUCUCACAGAAAAGGGUAACCUGGUGAUCACCCGUGGAAAAGUGGCUGAUACCAUCCCUGCAAGCAUGUAAAAUAAGUUAGUGUUGGCUGUGUGAAUUCACAGAAAAUUAAGCAGUAGGGAGGCAUGGACAUGGUAGAGCAUUUACCUGCAGCCCUUCCUAUAAAAUAAUCUUCACAAAUAUAAUUGCAUGAUCAUCUCAUGCAGCGUUACA
rnacentral:lncRNA from 1 species